AUAUAUAUAUAUAUAUAUAUAUAUAUUAGAGGACAUGAGAUGUUUAUAUGCAAUUUAUUUAACGAUAUAUCUUUAUCUGAUUAAAGUUUAUUAUUCUAAGAUAACAAUUUUUUCUUUACUUAUGAAUUUAAUUUCUUAUUACCUGCGAUGCCCUUCCACAACUUUAGCCAUGUUUCCAUUAUAAGUAGGCACAAAAAUAUCUCAAGUGCCACAAGAUAAUCUAAUGCUGCCACUUGAGUUUUUUAAAAAUUUAUCACUGUCAAUAUAUAUUUAUACUCUUUUCAUGACUUUUUCUUUUGUCAUAGCAUAUGGACAAAGUCUUGGAUGAACAAGACUUGUCAUGUGACAAAGACCCUUUGAGUCUAAUUCAAGUUUUCUAGUGAGUCAACAAUCGACUACAAGUGAAACCACAAGUACAUGUAUAACACUCUAUUCAGUCAUUUUGUUGCUAAAGUAGCUGAGGUGUUAAAGAUAAGCUUGAGGGAAGAAGUUGAUGCUGAACAAGAAGGAAAGAAUAAAGAUGCAAUAGUGUUGAUGAAGAGUUCAAAUAACAUCAAGAGGCACGAUAAUAAGUCUUUAGCCACAUAUGGCGCUCCCUUCUCUGAUGAAUCGUUGGCAGCUAUUGAAGGUGCUGGAGAGGUAAUAUACAUGAAUCUCAUUUGCUAUUGAGACAGAUACUGUGAAUUUUUUUCUUUUAUCAUAGCAUAUGGACAAGUCUUGAAUGAAUAUAGACUAUAGUUCAUAGGUCAAAGGAGUAAGGACCCAAGAUAUGAGUUGGAUGGUCCAUCAAAUAAUUUGAUUCUUUGCUUGUUAUAUUCAGAAAAGCCUUGCCAACUCCAUCAUUAGUCCCAAAAACAACAAGCUAAACAAGUUUUUUAUGAACCUGAUUUUAAAUUGGACAAAAAUUGGUAUGUGGUUCAAAGUAGUGCCCCUUGUAUAUUGUAUGAUGUUCAUGUAAUGGUGGAAGAAGUACAUCAAGAACAAGAGCCACAUUUAAAUCUAACUGUUGAUUUGAAUAUUGACCAACUAUCCCUAACAAGAGGUAAUAUACUAUCGGAAGUGGUGGAUGCCUUAACCAUUUCAUUGCAUGAUAUAACUCAAAAAGCAUGUACAAAUAUGAGUACAUCAAGAACAAGAGUUUGUUCUUAGUACAUGUAUUUAUAUUUUUAUGAUAGAAUGGAUAAUGAAUCAAUUGUCCAACAAAAUGAGGGAAUAUGAUAAGAAUUUUUUUGCUCAUAGAUUUGACAAUUAAUUAAACAAGUUCAAUGGAAGGAAUAAAUAAAAUGGUAGCAAAAGAAUAAAAGUUCAGUCUUUUUGCUGUUUUUCAAGUGUAGAACAAAAAUUCAGCCUUUGUGCUGAUUUCAAGAUUAGAAUAAUAACAAUAUACUUCCCUUUUUCUUAUUAAUGCAAUUUAUCUACAAUAUAAGUAUGUUUUUACUUGACUUUUGUUGGAUUUCAUUUUUUUUAUCUUCUUUCUUCAUACCCUGAUGAUGUAUUCACUAAAUCAUUUAUGUAUUUGUUCUUUUAGCAUCUUCAAAGUUGCAUCUUCUAGUAAAAGUUCUGAUUGUGCCUUGAAGAUCUUGUUCCUAUAUAGCUCUUUGGAGGUACAUUAAGGCACUGGUAUCCUCCAUCAAUCAAACUGAAAUUGGCACUAAUAUCCGAAAGCAGCUUAUUUGGGUAAGCUAUCUCUAAAUUAACUCUAAAAUUUACAAUUUUGACCCCCUCUGUUAUAUCACUUUUUUAUAUGGGUUAAAAAAAGAGUCCUUGCAUUUUUCAUUCCUAUUUACUGUUUCUUAAUGUUUUUUGGCCAUGAAUUGUCAAUGUAAACAUCCAUUUCAUUAAUUUUAUGAAAAUGACCAUUUUGACCUCAUAUCUAUAUUUUAUUAAAAAAUUAUUCUGCCAACUCCAUCCGAUUUCUGAAUAUUCUGGUGUUCACAUGUAGUAGGUUGGUGGCUAGUAAUUUAUUUAUUAUUAGUUCUGAUAUCAUUAGAUUAUGGAUUCGUAAUUAGGUUUGAUUUCAUAAAUAAUUCAGUUUUUAUGAAGAAGAUAAGGGUAAAAUGGUCAUUUUAUUCUGGAGAAAUGACCGGUAAUUUUUACGAGGCGAAAAAUGUUCAGCAAGAUUCAUCUCUGCUCAAAAUUGUGUAUCCAAAAAAAAGUGAUACAACGUAGGAGACUGCAGGACUUCCUUUUCAGAUGCCCUCAAGAGCUUAUUCCUGCUUGUGAGGGCAGUUUUGUCCAUCACUUUCAUGGUAGAGUAGUUUUGUGUCUCGAUCAACUCAGAAAGAUAAAAACCAUUAGUGACUAUCAGUUGUGAUUAAUACAUUCUGAUGCUCCUAUGCAAGUAGGUUGGAACUUUAUGGAGCACACUCGAAAAACUUGCUCCUCAUUAUCUGGAAGAAAAUUCAAUUAAAUUUACAUUUAAUCUGCAUUGAUCUUUAUAUGUAUGGAUUUUGUUUUUUAAAAAUGACAUUUAAUAUUUCAUAUUAUAAAUGUGAAGUUUUAUUUGGUUA